AGCAAGAUUACCCGCUGAACUUAAGCAUAUCAGUAAGCGGAGGAAAAGAAACUAACAAGGAUUGCCUCAGUAACGGCGAGUGAACAGGCAAAAGCUCAAAUUGUAAAUCUAUGGUUUCCGAUCAUAGAAUUGUAAUCUAAAGAUUUUCGCAGAAGGAUAGGUUUUCGCAUAACGCCCUGAAAAGGGUGGUCAUAGAGGGUGAUAACCCCGUAGUUGGCGAAAAACCUACCGUAUGCGGGGAUUCGAAGAGUCGGGUUGUUUGGGACUGCAGCCCUAAUUGGGAGAUAAAACUUCUUCUAAGGCUAAAAUAUUGAUGUGAGACCGAUAGCAAACAAGUACUGCGAAGGAAAGAUGAAAAGAACUUUGAAAAGAGGGUUAAAAGACGUGAAAUCGUUGAGAAGGAAGCUGUAGAAGAAAAUUAUUGGUGUGACGUUUGGGUACGAGAGGAAGAGCAU
rnacentral:rRNA from 1 species